UGGAGGACAGCUCUUUGCGCAUGUGCGGGGAACUACCGACGAAGCCAGGCCUCGAGACGAACAAGUUUACCCGCCAGCAAGUAGUCAAACUUCAGUCAUCCGGGUGCCUCAUUUUUCCGAGUUGGUGUGAACAAGUUCGCUAUUGGCAGAAUCCACGAUGCUGCUGCGAGUUAUCCUCUCUGAGACGGGAAAUCAGGCGCAUUUCCAUCUAAAUCACCCCCCGAAGUGUUGAUGCACUGUGCCAGGUAUUGCGUGCAAACCUUGGCCUGAGAGGUGGAUUUAUUUUACAAUUUGAGGACCCUGCGUUCAAGGAUCAGCUGACCAAUUUGACGACAUCCGAGACCUUCCUGAGGAGAGAGCAACAUUGAAAGUUUUGUUCACAGCUGAUGCAGCUUGCUCUGAUUCCACAUUGGAUACAGCCAGCCUACCAUCUCUCAGUAGUGGGGAAUCUGACUCCCAGCACUGGCCUGAGCCCUUCCCGAUUCCAGAGUUCUCACAUGAUGUUGAACUCACGCUGCAAGAAGCAAAUGGAAUAUAUGCAAAAGAUGUAUUUGUACUGGCGAUUCCCAAAGGUAUGAAAACUGAUAUACUGGAUAUAACUGAUAUACUGGACACACUUGCAGAUUAGUCCUUAUCCUGAGAGGCAACACUAUAAGAUUUGCCAAAGCACUUGUAGAGAAGCAUCCCAGUCUAAAAGAGCCAAGGUCUGGAAAUGGUUGGAAUGGCUGGUUCCACAGCCUGAAGUUUAAGCUUGGAAACUAUCGACAGAAGUUAAGUGCAGCUGGAUCCCCAGAGGUAAGGAUCAACAAAGGAAAAGGAGAAGAAGCCAAGGGACCACGUUUGAAGAAGUCAAAGAAGGGCAAGGUCCACUACUGCCCAGGUCCCCCUGAAGGACUAAGUGAUGAAGACAUGGAAGAAAAUCGGAGGAUGAUGGAUGUGGAAGUGCUGAAAAAAGACCCAGAUCACCACCAGAUACAGUAGAUGAGCUGAUGUCUGCCACGUUCUCCAAGUGCAGAAAUGAGAUCGUAGGGGAUCAACCUCUCAUUGGGGAUGUCAUAGCUAGAUGGCCGGCCAUGUUCUGUGAAAGACAAGUUUGGGCAGAGUUCUAAAGAGUCGUAAGCACAAACCUUCUCGAGUCGUUCCUCAACGGACUUGAUGACCUGGCACCAAGGCUGCUGGAAGUGUAUGAAGCUGCGACCAAGUUGGAAAAGAAACCUGCUCUGAAAGCCAUUUUGGACUUUCUGAAGGAAGACUUCACAAACGAAAGGAGAAGGACUGCUGCUCAGCUGGGUCUGCCACACUACCUAAAAGAAGAGCCAUCAGACAUCAUCAGGAUGUGUGACAUAAGACAUGUUCCUCGACGGACUUGAUGGCCUGUCACCAAGGCUGCUGGAAGUGUACAAAGCUGCGACAAAGUUGGCAAAGGAGCCUGCACUGAAAGCCAUUUUGGACUUUCUGAAGAAAGACGCGAGUAGACGAGCUGAGAAUUGUACAAUUGGGCACCAGAUGUUUGCAAAAAAAUCUCUACACUGCUUAUUUUUGUUUUGUAGGACACAAACGAAAGGAGAAGGACUGCUGCUCUGCUGGGUCUGCCACACUACCUAAAAGAAGAGCCAUCAGACAUCAUCAGGAUGUGUGACGCCCAUGGUGAGACUCUGGCUGCAGCCAUGGAAGGGAUGCAACUUGGCCUGUUGAUAGGCUAUGAAGGUGACAACCAGGAUGCCUUUCCACAUGAGGUCUUCAAUGUUCAAUGUGGCAGUUGUGGUUGAGUUCACUGUUGUGCUUCACAACUUCAAGGAUGUGCCAUCCAGCUUUGCCAUGCUUUUGGGGAUCAUCUACUGCAUUAACCUUGAGUAUCCACAAGCCAUGAAGUAUUCCUUUGAGUUCCAUCAGAGGGUAGUGAUGAAGAUCAAACCAGAUCAAGCCUCUACAAUAGUCCACGUUAUCGGAAACAAGCUCCUGAGGUAUAAUUUGUAAACCAUGUCCAUGCCCCACCCGAGAAUCGUAUUGGAAUUCUUUUUUUUUUUUUUUUUCUGUUGACAUGCAAACCAAAUUUGAUACAUUUACUUUUGUUGGACUGAAUACAUUUAAUGCUGAAUAUUGUUCAAAUAAUGGGGUCAACGUAUACUGUAUUAAAGUUUCAAAUAUUUGAAAACAACCAGCUGCAGUCUGAAGUUUUAGUUUGUGUAUUGGGUUCAGCAUAGCUUUUUGUAUAAGUCAGCUGGAUCUGUGCUAUUAAUGUUAAAAGGUUUUUAAAUGUUUAUUUUUAAAAACUGUUCAGUAUUUCAGUGUUGUGUAAGGAAAAAAGCUAAUGCUUUUAAGGGAAUGUAUUUUCUAUUGGGUGAAUAUGCAGGGCCGUUUGAAGGAAUUUGGGGGCCCCAAGCAAAAUGGACAUAGAGGCCCCCCGCACGCAUGCAAAGCCUACAGUAACCACAGCAUAGCCAUACAGUUUAAGUUCACCCACAGUUUAUAUAAAUAAAAAAAGGUUUACAGUACAAAUAUUGCUUGAAAAAAAUAGUUUGG